UAACAGAACAUACUCCUCUGGCAUACUCUAGACAGCACAACCCAACAGAUGAUGAAGAAUAAUCUAAGUAAACAUAUCUAAAUGGCAACCCGCAACUGAGGACAAAUUUUCAUAUUUUUUUCUUAGUAAAUGUUAAUGUCAAGACUGUAGCAAAAACCUUGCUCUGAUUAAUCUUUUAAAGAUACAGCAUUCAGUGUGGCUUAUAGAGUUACGUAAAUUUUAACUGUGGUGAUUCCUUUAUUCUGAGAAAGUAAUCCUGGAUACUAAGGUAUAAACACCUGUGAUAUACAUCUGUAUAUCUCCAUAUCUUUUGGAAUUGUGAAUACAACUAGUAUAGAAUCUUUUAAUGAAUGAAGAAGCACUUAAUGUAAAGCUUGCUCUGGCUGGACCUACAUGUGGACAAGCUGCUGAACUGCAGAAAACAUUGCUGCCUUGUUACCAAGAAAGUGGUUGGCUUCAAGUACCAUCUUUCUUGGAAACCUAUUGUCCAACUGUGGGAGGAAGAAAAGAAUUUCUUGGGAGUUGCUCCCCAGGGAGAGACAGAACUAAUCCACCUCCGCUGUUCUUGCGGGGUGUGCUGUUGUGAACAAAACAAGUUCUCUUUUAAAACACAGAAAAAAAACAAGUUGCCAGAAGAAGCCUGACAAAGAACACAUGUAUGUCAACAUUUUUCUUUGCUAGAAGAAAACACACAAGAUCUUUUUCAUUAGUGAAACAGUCAGAAUGCCAAGGUGAAAUAAUUCUGUGGGCAGUUCAGAAGCAGACAACUACAGUUUAUGAAGAUCUUUGUGAAUGUUAGAGACUAGAAUUGAAUAUCCAUGGCAGUCACUUUCAGUUCUGUCUCACAGUUGAGAAUAUUGCUUGAAAAUUAGGUAGAUAUUCCAGUUUCCCUCUCCCUCUUCCCUUUCCCACUUCAUUUUUAGUUAGUGUAUGUUUUGGUUAUCUUAGUGUUUUGUAAAUGCCUCAAAAAACAUGUUUUUUUGAGUACUAAGUGUAUUUCAAGAAAAUCAGCCAAAUUAUCCAGAAUGAAAAGUAAAGCUGAAAUUUAAAAUUCUUCAAAUAGCCUUAAAAAAUCUGCUUACUGAUUUGUUUAUUGAGAAU
rnacentral:lncRNA from 1 species